rnacentral:lncRNA from 1 species
GAAACUUGUACAGACAGCAGAACACCAGGCUGGUGAGCUCUUUGCUGUCUGUGUUGCUAGGGAGACCAGGAGCUGAUUUUGGAGAGCAACGUUGGACAAAAUGAAUGUCAAUGGCAAAAAUAUGCUUAUUGAAAGAGAAGUAGACUAUGAAAUCAUCUGCAGAAACAGACAAGGUCACAAUAGAAGUGUGAAAGUAAAAUAUUAAUCAACUGGAAUGGAAUGGAAAUCCCAAGGUAACACAAGAAACAAGGACACAAAAGGUACUAUGUGAUGCUGAACGUUCAUAUCGUAGAGGACUUCAUGAUUAGUAAAAUUAGUACUUUCUACUGUUACCACCAUUAUAAAAUAGUUCUCUACACAUGGUUCCUUAAAAAUCCUGCAGUAAUCAGACAGACUACAGGCUAAAGUAGAGAAUUCAAGCAACCUGGCAUCGAAGAUAAUAUUGGAAACAUGAUUCACAUUUUAAAACUUGCCGUUUCUUCUGCUUAGACUGUAUUAUUAUUGUGUUUGUCAUGUGUUCGCACAUUUUCAAAUGAGUUGGGUUGACAGAGAAUAUUCUUUGUAAAGGUGAACACGUAGGUGACUUUUGGCCUAAUUUGUCUUGUUCCUCUGUAAAAAUGUAGAAGUCUCCACAGUUUUUCUUUCCUCUUCACUCUCAUUUAAGAUUUAAUAUAAUCCAAAACCUUUGACAGCCAAAUACCCAUAGUUUCAAGUAACAAAGUGUUUGGUGACAAAAUUGCUGCAAGAUGUUCUGUGACAUUAUUCUAUAAUGAGUUAUUGCUCUUCUGACUGCAAGAUCUAUAUGCUUGUACUCUUAGUUACCACUGCCAUAAUCAAUGCUCUGGAAAAAAAAAUUGUAUUCAAAAUCAUGUCCUGACUGAGCAGUUAGGCUAGAAAAUGUGGAUCCUUCUCCAAAAAAUAGUAUACUCACAUAGCUCAUUUAAAUUUAUCUCAAUUUCUACUAUGAACUAAUUUUGACAAGUUAUUAAUGUAUCUUAUUAAGAACACUGAUUCCAGGAAGUUUGGAGAAGAGAAAUAAUGUAGAUAUCUUUAUUUUUGAUCAUUUUUUCCCCCUUUUUUAAUGUUUACAAGAUAUUGCAGAAAGACUUACUUGUAACAAUAGAUGUUGAAUAUAUGCCACAAACUCCAUUGGCUGAAGAAUUUACAUCUUGCUCUUGGAAUUCUUUUAAGCUUGUUGCAGAGUUUACCCCGCUAAAGUUUUUUUUUUUCUUCCCUAGACUUUCUGUAGUUCAGAUAGAAUGGAGUUUCUAGAUGAUCUGGACAAAAGACAUAAAAGACAUCACGUGCUAUAACUUAGUGUUGUAUCAGGGUUUACAGUCAGACAAACUGAAUACAUUAAUCUACAUAUCUCUUCUUAAUUUGCAUCUAGAGAAGUUUACCAAGAAUUACUAAUCACAAUCAUCAUAAUUAUACACAGCUCAAAAGUUCAGAGUUCUAAACCUCUCAGAAAAAAGUUGGUAUGAUCUCAUUUUAUCGUUCCAUAUCUGAUAAUCACUGGAAAGAGCAUAUGGUAGUUAAAGAACAUCAGUGGAUUUUGGCAGCCUGCUAGAAUUCUGAUUAAUCAAGAACAUUGGCUGUGAACAUAAUAACAAAUACCUCUGACUGUAUUUCAUCACAACAGGGAACCACAUCUGCUUGAAGAUGAAUUUGUAAUACUCCGCGGCUCUCUUAUAAUGCCACUGUCAUUACAAACACUUUUCACAUGAAAGUUUCAUACAGCUUCUUCUCCAGGAAAUGACAGUACCCUUGGGUUUCCCAAUCCAUAACAAAUUUUAUCUUGAUAGCUUUUCAUAUCUUUAUGCCUGCUUAAUGUCAUGGCAUACUACACAGUUUUCUUGCUAGUGUUUACUAUGUUAGGCAUAGACAUCCCAUGGAAAUGGUGUGGGGAUUUUUUUUGCAGUUCAAGCCACCAUACACAUUAGAACCUCCUCAAAUGAAUGUGAAUAAUGUUUUACACAUAAUUCAGAUGUUUCUUCUCUCUAGAUAUUAUAUUUAGAAAGCAUAAACAAAUCUGCUCUGUUUGCAAUGGUACCUCUUCUUCCUGAGCCACCAACAGGAGCUGUCUCAUUAUUCAUUCUUUAUGCGUGGCAAACUAAGCUUCUGCAACAUUACUAUUUAAAACCUCUAGAAAGUAUUUCUUGUCCCUCUUAUGAAUUCUGAAUUCUUAGAAAAAUCCUCACAUACAUUUUUCUCAGGUUUUUUGUAGAGCAUGAGGAAUUCGUGAGAACAUUUAAUAAAGUUCCAGGAAGCACUAAGAAUUCUUUCUG